GCACAAGCGGUGGAGCAUGUGGUUUAAUUCGAAGACAACGCGAAGAACCUUACCAGGUCUUGACAUCCCGAUGCUUAUUUCUAGAGAUAGAAAGUUACUUCGGUACAUCGGUGACAGGUGGUGCAUGGUUGUCGUCAGCUCGUGUCGUGAGAUGUUGGGUUAAGUCCCGCAACGAGCGCAACCCCUAUUGUUAGUUGCCAUCAUUCAGUUGGGCACUCUAGCGAGACUGCCGGUAAUAAACCGGAGGAAGGUGGGGAUGACGUCAAAUCAUCAUGCCCCUUAUGACCUGGGCUACACACGUGCUACAAUGGUUGGUACAACGAGUUGCGAGUCGGUGACGGCGAGCUAAUCUCUUAAAGCCAAUCUCAGUUCGGAUUGUAGGCUGCAACUCGCCUACAUGAAGUCGGAAUCGCUAGUAAUCGCGGAUCAGCACGCCGCGGUGAAUACGUUCCCGGGCCUU
rnacentral:rRNA from 1 species